AAGAAGACUCCUACAAGCGCCAGUGAGGCUUUGUUGAUUGACAGACCAGCACUGGUGAAGACGAUUCCGGACCAUCUUGAUGAGGUGUUGGAAGCUCUGAAGGAAGCUGGUUGCUUUACUUCACAAGACUGUGACGGAGUGCUGUUACCAGUGUACACACGUUCUCAGAAGGUUAGAAAGCUGUUAGACCAAGUGAGGUUCAGAGGGGAAGGUGCUGCCAAAGCUUUACUGCAGUAUCUGCAGCACAUAGACAGUAAACCUCAAAGUGUGAAAGAGGAAAAGGAACUCUCGACUGAAUGCCUCCGCUACAAGAAGAAGCUUUGCAGCUCUGUUGACAGUCAGUCAAAAAUUCUCAGCACAUAUGGUGGAACAAGAAGAUUUUCCCUAGAAGAUAUCUAUACUGAUGGCCUUCUAGAAGUGGUGCAAAGUGACACAAAGGUUACAGAUCUGGGUCUGCAGGAUUUGGUGGGUCUGCUCGGGACCGUAAACGAGGAAGCCGAUACAAUACUUAUUUCUGGCGAAGCAGGUAUUGGUAAGAGUACCUUGCUGCAGAGGCUCCACCUUCUGUGGGCUCAAGGUACCUUGUUGAGAGACGUUCACAUGCUGUUCCCUUUCAGUUGCCGUAAACUGAAUGCCGAGAAGAAGAUGCUCUCUUUAAAAGAGCUCCUGUUCCAGCACUGCUGCUGGCCAGACCAGGGUCAAGAUGAAAUUUUCCAGUUCAUUCUCGACUACCCUCGCCUAGUCCUUUUCACCUUUGAUGGGCUUGAUGAGUUUAAGCACAGCUUCACAGAUGAAGAGCGCCAUUGCUGUCCCACACAGCAAGCACCUGUACACACUCUGCUUUUCAACUUGCUUCAGGGUACCUUAAUGAAAGGGGUACAGAAGGUGGUAACCAGCAGGCCCCAAGCAGUGGGUCCAUCUCUGAAGCGGUAUCUCCGCAAGGAAGUCCUGGCCAAGGGUUUCUCUCCUGUGGGAAUCGAACACUUUGUAAGGAAACACCACAAUGACAUCACUGUAGCUACUCGGGUUGUAGAGUCGAUCAAGGCUAACACAGCCCUACUUGGGCUCUGCCAUAUUCCUGUCUUCUGCUGGAUUAUAUCAAAAUGUUACAAAGAGUUGCUCGGAUGUGGAGAAGGCAGCCCUCAGACAGUCACUGAUGUGUACCUCAUGGUUCUGAAGCAUUUCCUCCAGAAGCAGGUGCCUCAGCAACAUAGGACUUUGGGAAAAGGAUGGCUACAGGAACAUCUAGAGCUGGUGAGAAGACUAGGACAGUUAGCACUGGAGGGUUUAGAGACUUCCUGUUAUGUAUUCACAGAGUCAGACUUGCAGAAAGGUAGCAUCACACAGCAUGACCUUGAUCUUGGAUUCCUUAUACAAUGUAAGGACCUCUCAGACUACAUUGACUGCAAACACUUUGAGUUCCUGCAUGUCACCAUGCAGUGCUUCUUUGCUGCUCUCUAUAUUGUUCUCAACAACAAUGGCAACUGCUCUGUCAUCGUAAACCUCUUCCAGUCGCAAUUCAAGCAGCCAACAGUUAAUCACAACUGUCUUGUACAUUGCAUGAUGCCUGUAGUCGAUGACUGCAAUGUAGCAGAGAGCCCAAACCUGCAGAUCACCUCAGAAUUUGUUGCAGGACUUCUGUCCCAGCGCUACCGCAGUCUCAUCGAACCGUCCUGUCCUGCGGUCUUGCUAGAGAAAAAGUCUGAAAAAGUCAUGAAGUGUUUGUCUAAGGGUAUACAGAGGCAUUUCAAAUCAAUCCCACCACCAGUGAAGGGUGAGAAGAAGAGCAUGCAUGCCAUGCCAGGUUUUGUUUGGCUCAUUAUGUGCAUCUAUGAGAUGCAGGAGAACAAGAUUGCUAAGGGUGCGGUGGCCAAACUAGAAAUAGAGCACCUGAAGUUAACAUACUGUAAUAUUGGGCCAGUGGAAUGCACGGCUCUGGCGUAUGUCCUCAGGUACCUGCCGAAUCCUAUUGGACUACAGCUGGACUUCAACUCAGUGGGGGAUGUGGGAUUGGAACAACUCCUGCCAUGUCUUCAUACCUGUCAGUCCCUCUACUUGAGGAACAAUAACAUAUCAGAUGAAGGAAUACGCAAACUCGUUGAGAAGGGAGUGCACUGCGAAUGCUUCGUGAAAGCUGUUCAACAACAAACUAACAGAUGAAUGCACAAAGUAUUUUGCCUGGCUGCUUAAGACAAAGAAGGACUUCGUUGCAUUAAGACUUGGCAACAAUAAGAUCACAUCACAGGGGGCCGAGCAGCUGGCAGAAGGGCUGCGGUACAACAAAUCACU